GAGGCCCGCUCCCGCCCCUUCGCCCCCUGGACGCCUCCGUGGGAACCCCCGGCCGGCCUGCGCGCCCCUCCUCCGGGGGUCUCCCCGCCUUCUUCCCGCCACCAUCCAAUCAAAUCGGGCGAGGGGCGCGAAGCCCGGGAGACGCGUAGGCCGCGGCCCCCAGGCCCGGUGUUUUGACGUCGGCGGUGCCCGCGUUCCGCGCCGAGUAACGGUCUUCGGAAUUCAGAGCCUUCGCCUUAGGGAAGGUGGGACGGUCGCCAGUUUCUCCAGCACUUUCUUCGUCCAGGGACGUCAACCUCCCUUGCAUGCUGUCCUCAGGGACUGACAGCGGGGCCUGCUCAGAAGUUCUCGUCGGGACUCUCUACAGGCCUUUGUGAUUAAGUGCUAGGGGUGAGGAGAGACGUGGCUUAUUUAUGUGUUUUUCAGUUUGUUAUGAUUUUUUUUUUUUUAAUUUUACUUCUCCCUGCCCUAGAAUUGAGCUCCUUGAGAGUAAAAACCCGCCUGGGUCGCCAUCACCCUAGGCUUGGUGCAGGGCCUGCCAGGCGCUCGAAUUUGUUGAAGAGGUGGGUGUUCAGUAUCGAAAGAGCCGCGGAUUGUACAUUAGAAAGCCUGGCUUUGCGCCGCGUCCUUGCCACUUGCUGACCAGGCCCCUCCACGUGGUCCCCGCCGGGGCAGCAGCUCUCCUCACCCGUCCAAAGGCACGGGGAGGCGCGUGGCGGCCCCGCCAGAGCUGAGCCCCCUGGGAUGUGAGGCCGUCUCGCUCUGAGCUUCAGAGCAGGGUUGCAGGAGACACCUCAGAAGGUCGUUUUGAGGACGGGAGGAGAUGAACUGCUCAAAGCCUGCUUAACUAGAUAAAUGGUAUCGAUUAACUUUUCUUUGACUCCCUUUCCACACCUAUAAAAUGAAGAUGACGGGAAACUUGUCAUACUUUUUUUGUGGUGGGUGGGAAAGGUCUUUAUGAACUGUGAAGUCCUAUGCAAACGUGAGAUGUUUCCUUUCGCAAUCUGAUUAGCGAAGCAAAAACACGCGAGUCAAAAACAUACACAGAAAGCAAAAAAAAAAAAUUCACAAAAUGGUUUAUCAACUGCAGAAUAUUCAGGAUGGUGGAACUGAAUGGUAACUACUGACAACAUAGCUCAGAAAGGACGUGCUAAAACAUGCUGGAUGAAGCUAACUUUGAUCCAGGUCUUAAAUGGAAUGGACUAUAGUUUAUAGCUUCAACCUAAUCAUUAACUUAUGAAAUCAGAGAAUUAAGGCCACUUAAGCCACUGUGCUCAGACUGUCAAGAUAUUUAGUUUCUCAAAGCAGAAAGAGGAAAUUAAAUACUCUUGUCAAUUCAACAUAUGGGUUGGAUGAUUAGCAGGAUCCGUGGAUUGUUGUUUAUCCAGUAUGUGAAGAAACGGAUAUCCUCUGUUUUCUCGUUAUUACACAAACUUCUAUCCUUAAUAUGUGACCUUUCAAGGUUGAACUCUAGGUAAAAUUAUGAAGUGCACAAUUACGUCUUGUUUCUUCUUCCCUUUGCACGUCGUUUUACAAGAGAAUCUAAUUAUUAUUAAAGUACAAAUGACUGACAAGAUUGUAGCCACUCCUGGGAGAUUUUGCAUUUUUACGGUUAUUAAAAGCCAUAACUCAAAGCAGCAGUUGAAUCUGUUUCAUAAACUAACUAAGAUUUAAAAGAGCUCCUUUGGGAGGUCAUGAGUUCAUCAGAAACUUCUGGUGUAGGAGUUCAGCCUAUAAAACAAACAAAUACAUGACUUGUAGUAUUUCUUCGUUUUAUAGUCUGAACUCCUCUAAGUUCUUGAUUCCCAUUCUGUGACCUCCCUUUCUUAGAUUGUUAAAAUAAAAUACAGAUGACUCACGCCUUUAAUCCCAGCACCUCGGGAGGCUGAGUCGGGAAGAUCACUUGAGCCUAGGAGUUUAAGACCAGCAAGGGCAACAUGGGGAGAUCCCAUCUCUUAAAAAAAUAAUAAUAAUAAUUGAGCAUGGUGGCACCCUCCUGUAGUCCCAGCUAUUUGGGAUACUGAAGCAGGAGGAUUGCUAGAGCCUGGGAGGUCAAAGCUGCACUGAGCCGUGGUCACACCACUGCAUUCCAGCCUGGACAACAGAGUGAGACCCUGUUUCAAGAAAAAUAAAAUGAAACAUUUAUUUCUGGAUGUUAUUUUGAAAGAUUUUGUCAUGUCUUAAUGAGCCCUGGCCACGUAAUCACAGCAUUUUGGGAGGCCAAGGUGGGAGGAUUGCUUAAAGCCAGGAGUUUGAGACUAGCCGGGUCAAUAUAGUGAGACCCUGUUUCUACAAAAAAUAAAUAAAUAAAUA
rnacentral:lncRNA from 1 species